rnacentral:lncRNA from 1 species
GUUUCCUCCUGGUAGCAUCUUCCUUUCCGCCUGAGGAUUUCCCAGGCAUCCUGCCUCCAAGAAAGUCAGAAGUCAGUGCCUUCCUGAGAGCCGGUGAGAGCUCCGUCUCCCUUGGGCAAGUGGUGCUGAUGCCUGUUCCCUGCAUCCAUCUCUCAGAAGCCACAGCAGAACUGAGCUCCAGGGGCCACUGCGAUACACCUUCGCAAUGGUGACCACAAGAAUCCACUCAGCCUUGGAAGCUGUCCUUGAAACUCACCCUGAAAUCCCUGCCUAGCAGACAGGAGACCUCAGGCUGGACUCCACUCACUAUGUUAUCUCGGCCUCCCCGGGACUCUUAGGACACGACUUUCUUAAUCUUUCCAAGGGGCUAAGCUUAACCAAAAGGAAAUA